UUGGAUCAAAGUUCCUAUUCGCUGAGCAUUUCAUUUUUACUUCUUCUUCCCUUGUUUAAGUCUCUAAACAUGAAAUGAAACAUAGACAUCUUCUUCGGCUGUAAAAGAAAACAAAGUAUGCGUUUAUAUUGUAUGGUUCUCUCAUUCAUCUUUCGUUUUUGCACUUUUUCUUCUUUAUUUAAUUUUUGAGUUCUUUAUAAUCAAAAACUUCGGAUCAUCUUUAGAUGUUUUGCAAGAAAAAAAAGUUUCGAAACUCUGCUUUGUAGGCUAUAAACUCGAACCUAAAAGUGGCAAAAAAUAAUCAAGGAAAAAUUGAGAAGCUUCAAAAAGAUAAGGUUACCAGUGUUGCAAAAGAUGAUUAUUCAUCAUGGUAAGAGAUGUCCCACUCUCAUCAAAUAUGUGUGAUUAUCACUAUACACAUGUCUCUACCAUAUCUUUCGUUGGUAAAUAUCUGAGUCCAUGACCGACUUUAGUGGGUUAUAAAUACCCUUUCUUUCUCAUUGUUGUAAGAUUGUAAGAUAAGAAACAAGAUAAAUAAUAAUAUCAUU
rnacentral:lncRNA from 1 species